GCCGCCAGUCGUUCGCCCCCAGUUCCUGCACCGCUCGGUUUACGGCAGCUCUUCUGACUACUCGAUCGAUAUCCACAACAUUCGCAAGGUUUCCAACGGUCCAAGUGCUGUUAGUCUGCCUCAUCGUUGAAGGCUACGGACUGCACCACCAUCCGUUGAAUCAGGCUGUAUAUCCGGCGUCCGGCUUCAGCGGCUACAAUACUGCCGCUGCUCCCUACCAAGGAUACAACACCUACACCUAUCCACCUCACCCGCACAACUUUGGCUACGACAGUGUGGACGAGUACGGAAAUCGACAGUUCCGCAGCGCGCAGAGCAACUCCAAAAACACCAAGACCGGUUUGUACGGCUACCGCGACGUGAAUGGCCUCUACGGGCGCGUGAACUACAUCGCCGAUGAGUACGCAUUCCGGGCCACCGUGGACGCCAACGAACCAGCUGCCACUCUUGAAGAGAGCGCCGACGCGGUUUUCAACGUUGCCCCAGUGGUGCAUCCGGUUCUUUCAGCAGCUGACCGGAUUGGUGCACCUACAGCUUAUACCGUUAG